GACAGAGGAGCCAAGCGUUGUCCGGAUUGACUGGGCGUAAAGCGCACGCAGGCGGUCGUGCACGUGGGGUGUGAAAACUGGCGGCUUAACUGCCAGAGGCCACCUCAUACGGCGCGACUCGAGCCCUGCAGAGGUCCAUGGAAUUGCCGGUGUAGUGGUGAAAUGCGUAGAGAUCGGCAGGAACACCAAGGGGGAAACCAGUGGACUGGGCAGGAGCUGACGCUCAGGUGCGAAAGCGUGGGGAGCGAACCGG
rnacentral:rRNA from 1 species